GUCAUGUGACACAGUUCCCACCAAUGAGACGGGAGCAGCGGUUCUGCAGGGCAUUCUGGGAAAGCUCCCGGAAGGGUGGGCGGCUGGCCUCACGUGGACCACCCGCUGUCGGUCCUGAAAGGGGCCCCGAGGGCAGGGGAGCCGCGCUGUGACCGCGGGGCAGGCCUCACCGAGGACGCCGAGGGAGGUGGAGGAGGAGGCCGGGCUCGCGGGCGUGUGAGAGCUGCCGGACGCCUCGGUGGGUGAGAAGAAUAACCCGGACUCGUCUUCGCCUCUGCUGGGCGGGUUCUCUGCUGACUAGGAGGCUGCAGAAACCACCCCAUGAUGGCAUCUCCUAGGGUGAGGGCACGUUCUCCCCAGACUCUGAUGACCCGAGCAGCCCUGUCACUGCAAGACCUGGCGUCGCAUGUGACCAUGAGGGCUGCAGUGUCAGCAUGGUGGGUCCAGGCACUGCCUGCCAUCCUCUGGCAGAAGAGUGGGAGCUCAGCAGCCCCUCCCAUGGAAUCCUCGCUGUCUCCCAGUGUCUACACCACCCUGAACACGCGCAGUGACGCAGAAGGUCUUCUUGGGUCUUCCUCCAUCGGCAGGUCCUGCAGUGUGGAUUCGGGGGGCUGGGGAGGGUGGGCACCACUGCAUCUGCUGCACUCUGGUUCCCAAGCCCUGCUCCUUUUCUCGGAUCUUACGGACGCCCUUCUUCACCCGAGUCAGCAUCUCCCCUCAGCUGCGUCCAGCGCCACAGAAAGUGUGUUGCCCACAUCCUUGACUCUCCACGUCUGGUCGCCUGGAUGUGGACCCACCCUCCUGCUGCCGCUGAGACAUGGCUUCCAGAACCCUGCAGGGAGAGCCCGCGCUGCAGCCGCUCCCAAGUCCGUCCUGGCCGCUGUUUACCUGGAAUCAUCCCGUGGGUCCCGCCAAGCAGAUGUUAGAGAUCUUCUCCUGGAACCACAGGCCGGGCCCACAUGGCCGGCAGACGCCCACCCCACUCCCGAGAGGACCUUGUUUAACCAGGGUCCCCAUGCGCUGCGUCUGCAAGAAGCCUGCCCAACUGCGGACUUGGCGGCCAUCCCAAGAGGGCUGUCACUGAAACUGACCACAGUGGGCGAAGGGCUCUGGGGGAAGAUCUCAACAGUGGGACCGCUGGCCUCAAGGCAAAACUCAAGGCCAUCAGCUGUUUGGGUAAAAUGCAAUGAUGUCCAUGAAAUUGUCAUUAAACUCUUGCUUGCGUGAAUAAUUGAGCAUGAGAUCCACGUGCACUGACUUCCUGGGGCCUGCUCAGGAGGGAGGCUGGGGCGACCUGGGCUUCAGGUGCCGGGCUCUGAGGGAGUCCGCAAACGCCCAGGGACCGAGGGGCCAAAGCAGGUCUGCACACUUGCCAGGCCCAGGAGCUGCUCCUUUAUCUCUUCUCAGGGAAGGCAUUUUCUGCCCAUUUCCUGCUCUGCCUGGCCCAGCAGGAAGGGCGCGGUGAGAGGAGCAGAUGGGAGGAAGAGACAGAAAAGCAAGAGGCCUUGAGGGUUGGAGUUGAAGUCCCGCUAAACCCAAGGUACACGUCAUGAUUCUGCAGCUUGCUAGCUGUGUGACCUUUAGCAAUUCACUGUACCUCUCUGAGCUUCAAUUUCCUUAUCUGAAAAAUAAGGACCGUAACUCUCAUCUUUUCAGAAAUGUUGAUCAAUUUCUCCAGGUCCGUCCCUCCCUGCCCAGCCCACAGCCCUGAUAAGUUCUCUCCCCCCUCCCACCAUCACCACCAACCCUCAGCUUAUUAGCAGCAUUGAGGUGGACACCUGGUCCACACUGGACAAAUAUCAGAUUUUCCCUCCCAGGAGUCUCGGUUUGGAACAUGGAGACAGUCAUUAAGCUGUGGAAGCCAGCUGGAAGAGCACGUGGCUCAGGGAUGGAGGCCGCCAUUUUGGCAUGGCCUUGGUGGAUGGGAAGUGAGCAGAAAGCCGGCUACAGCAGGAGGGAAAAAGAUGGGUAGAGGGAGCUAGAGAUGAGUCAGACUGCAGAUCCAGUCAGAGACAGAGGCAGACACAGAGACAGGGAGGGGCCCUGUCAGGUGACCCAAGACCCAGGACAUUGGCUGUACUUUCCACUGUGGGGUCUAAGGGGGCCCUGUGUCCUUCCACUAAACCAUGUUUCUCCGUGAGCUCCUUUGUGUGGGUCUGUGAACCAGUUAGGGUUCCUCUCUGUUGCACGUGUCAGAAAACUCAACCCAAACUGACUUCAGCAAAGG
rnacentral:lncRNA from 1 species